AUUGAACGCUGGCGGCAUGCCUUACACAUGCAAGUCGAACGGUAACAGGUUAAGCUGACGAGUGGCGAACGGGUGAGUAAUGUAUCGGAACGUGCCCAGUCGUGGGGGAUAACUGCUCGAAAGAGCAGCUAAUACCGCAUACGACCUGAGGGUGAAAGCGGGGGAUCGCAAGACCUCGCGCGAUUGGAGCGGCCGAUAUCAGAUUAGGUAGUUGGUGAGGUAAAGGCUCACCAAGCCGACGAUCUGUAGCUGGUCUGAGAGGACGACCAGCCACACUGGGACUGAGACACGGCCCAGACUCCUACGGGAGGCAGCAGUGGGGAAUUUUGGACGAUGGGCGAAAGCCUGAUCCAGCCAUGCCGCGUGCAGGAAGAAGGCCUUCGGGUUGUAAACCGCUUUUGUCAGGGAAGAAAAGGUUCUGGCUAAUACCUGGGACUCAUGACGGUACCUGAAGAAUAAGCACCGGCUAACUACGUG
rnacentral:rRNA from 1 species